AAUUGCAAGAAUUGGAAGGCGCAGCGGUCCAGCUUCAGUAUCCAUUGAGAUCAAACCUAAAGAAAUGGACCCAUCUCUAUUCAAAAUGAAUUUCCUUUAUACAAAAACCACAAAGGAAACUGAAGCUACAUUUCUAAAUACUGAAAAGCAAAGAAUAAAAGUGUGACCAUGAAGGCAAAAGAUCCCACCUUAACCUGGUGAGAAAAAAGAAGCACUGUAAGCAGGAAUCUCUUUCACUUCUAUGGUGAGUGGUGAUGUCUCCUGAAAUGCUGUGUGUUAUUCCAGAGCCCAUACUUGAAGGGAUGUAGAACAGUAACAGAGGAGACUGAGAAGAG
rnacentral:lncRNA from 12 species